UUGCUCUCUUAGAAUUAGGUUGCUUUCCCAAACAGAUACAUGCGCAUCCCUCCCUCACUCUCUCUCUCUCUCUCUCUCUCUCUCUCUUUCAUUCUCUGUCUCUCUCUCUCCCUCUCUCCCUCUCUGUCUCUCUCUCCCCUACUAAUCACUGUCUAAUCUACCUACUAAUCAUGAGCCCUUUCUGCUUCCUGUGUCCCUGUGUGUGUGUCAUCAUGUUUAUCAGUCUGCUUGUGAAUGUGAAAGGCGAUCAGCAGUGAUAGAGGUGAAUAGGACUAUCUGCCUUUGAAACCUUGGCGUGUGGGUGUGCCCCCCUACAGGACGAGUCCACCGCUUAACGAGGUGUGUUCACCUGUCCCUGUAGGAGUGCCAGGUGCUUCCAAGGCAGAGAAAGACCAAGGAUGGUGUCUACCGGAGAACAGGAGAUCUACAGUAUAUGGUACGAUGACUGAAAACAACUCUCUGUGCCUCAUAGGGUUGCAAAGGGUCUGAAACUUUUCGGGUAAAUUUCCAGAAAAAUUCCAGAAAUUUGACAUGGGAAGUUAAGCCCAGGAAUAUUGGGAAUUUUGCUUAAAUUCAUCAAAAACAAUUAGUUUAUAACAGUGAAUCUUUUUUUGUGGGAUACACAUAAGGCAAUAAGGCAAUGGUAGGUCUUGUGGCAUAUUUUGGUUAAACUAUCCCCAAUUCAAUGGAUUUUCAACCCUCUGCAUGCACAGUGCAUUCUUCCAUCACAUGUACAGCUGAUUCUCAAGAUCUUGUACACUAAUGAGAUGCUAUUGAACCCACACUACUACACUGUCUGAGCCAAGGACUACAUGCUUCCUGGUAAGUUUUGAAUACAACACUGGGUGGGGUGAAUAUAUUUUAGAUGACAUACAUAUUUUUUUGGUUAACUAGUAAAUAGUAGCCUACAGCAAAGUCUGUUUCAAUCAUUUCUAACUUGUUAAAAAAAAUUCUGCUAGUUAGUUUUUGCUACCAUGUGUGUUUUAGCUGGCUUGAGCCUGCUGACUGAGGAGUGUUAUUUCACCUGUUUCCAUACAUGUUUCAUUUUAAAACAUUU